UGCGCCCUACGAGAGGCAGCAGUCGAGAAUCAUUCACAAUGGGGGAAACCCUGAUGGUGCGACGCCGCGUGGGGGAAUGAAGGUCUUCGGACUGUAAACCCCUGUCAUGUGGGAGCAAAUUAAAAAGAUAGUACCACAAGAGGAAGAGACGGCUAACUCUGUGCCAGCAGCCGCGGUAAUACAGAGGUCUCAAGCGUUGUUCGGAAUCACUGGGCGUAAAGCGUGCGUAGGCUGUUUCGUAAGUCGUGUGUGAAAGGCGCGGGCUCAACCCGCGGACGGCACAUGAUACUGCGAGACUAGAUGAA
rnacentral:rRNA from 1 species